CAUUUACUAUGUGCCAGUCAUUGUACUUAAUCAUCAUAAUUAUUUUCUCCAUCUAGGUGAUGCAGUAACUGAAUUAAUGGCCCUGGAGUAAGCAAGGCCUGAGUUUAAAUUUGAAUGUAGACACCCUGGAACUCGGGGAAAGUCAUUUUUGCCUCAGUUCCCUCCACCAUAAAAUGGGGAUAAUAAUAGCACCCCAAGGUUGACAUGAAGAUCAACUGAGCCAAUAUUUGUAAAUCAUUUAGUAUAGUCAGUACCUAAUAUGUAGCUGUACUUUAUAAAUAUUCCCUUCCCCAUUCUACAGGUAGAGAAACAAGUUUUUUGGUAUGUGUUUUUAAACCCUUACCUUCUGUCUUAGAAUCAAUAUUGUAUAUUGGUUCCAAGGCAGAGGAGUGGUAAGGGCUAGGCAAUGGGGGUUAAGUGACUUGCCCAGGGUCACACAGCUGGGAAGUAUCAGAGGUCAGAUUUGAAUCCAGGACCUCCCUUAUCUACGCCUUGCUCUCAAUCCACUGAGCCACCCAAAGUGAAGUUUUAAGUGACUUGUUCAGGGUCACAAAGCUAGGAAGUAGCUGAGGCCACAUUUGAUUGCAGCAGCCAUGAAGAGAAACUGAGAGAAGAGUUAAUGUACAAGUGUUUCCUCCUCUUAGAGAGCAAAUGACAAUCAACAAAACAGCAAAUCAAGCCUGAGAUCAUGUUUGCUGAUUCCCAAGGUAUAAUGCUCAUGCUGAAAAUUUAACAAUCCUCCAAACAGGAUGGAACUGGCUCCAACUCAUUGCUGCUGCAUGAUAAUGAUCUUUGGACUGGAAAGGACAGAACAAAAUGACUAA
rnacentral:lncRNA from 1 species